rnacentral:rRNA from 1 species
AGCGGAGCGUGUGGUUAAUUCGAUGGUACGCGAAGAACUUACCAGGGUUUGACAUCGGCACGGUGGUAGGGAGUCCGAAGGUGAACGACCUUCGGGAGCCUGCACAGGUGCUGCAUGGCUGUCGUCAGCUCGUGUCGGUGAGAUGUUCGGUUAAGUCCGCUAACGAGCGCAACCCUCGUCGUGUGUUACAAGUGUCACACGAGACCGCCGGUUUAAGCCGGAGAAAGGUGAGGAUGAAGUCAAGUCAGCAUGGCCUUUAUAUCCUGGGCUACACACACGCUACAAUGGCUGGUACAAUUGGUCGCGAAACCGCGAGGUGGAGCCAAUCCUUAAAGCCAGCCUCAGUUCAGAUUGUAGGCUGCAACUCGCCUGCAUGAAGAUGGAGUUGCUAGUAAACGCAGGUCAGCAUUACUGCGUUGAAUACGUUCCCGGGGAUU